rnacentral:lncRNA from 10 species
GCGUUCCUGUGUGAUGGGGCCGGAGCCAGUAAACAGGCUUCCUUCUCGCUCUGCUGUAUAAGAAGAAGAAGUAGGAGAAACAAAAUAAGGAGGAGAAGAAGUAAAAUAAUUUGAGAAGGAAUAUGAAGGUAAUAUAGAAAUAAAUUUUGUUUUCAAUAUUAGGCUUUAUUUUUAGAGCAGUUUUAGAUUCACAGAGAACUUCUGUAUAUAACCACUUGCCUCUAGAUUAAGCUAAAUUUGAGUUUAUACUGAUUUCUCCAAAGCCAAUCUAUGAUUGCUUGGAUAAUGCUUAUCUCCUUCCCUUGCUUUAUCUGUAAAUUCCUAUUCCAACAGUGAGAAGUUUGGCUCUCACCAUCCACUGUUCCUUUAUUUAAUUGUUCAAUUCCAGGGCAUAUAUGCAGUAGUUUCAAAGUUGGUAACUAGUGCUUGCCAGGAGGCUACUUUACCAAAUAGAGUACAGUGCUUACAGGCAGUUUCUUUUGCCCUUACUCUUACAGACUUUACUCAUUUACAAAGUUACUCAGCUCAGCAUCUUCCUCUCCUCACCAUCUUCGGUGAGAUUGUUUCAAUAAUCUACUAGAGACACAGGUGUAAUUUCACCAUUAUUUGCCAUACAAUGAAAUGUUCCUGUUGCGCAUGUGUUAUUUUGGAAUCCCUGGACCUUCUAAAUGUUUCUUUUUUCUUACCUUUUAAUUUUAAAGUUUACCCCCUUAUGCUUUAAAGUUACAUGGGUUUUGGGUCAAAUGGUAUUUCUAGUUCUAGAUCCCUGAGGAAUCUCCACACUGACUU